rnacentral:rRNA from 1 species
AGUGAACGCUGGCGGUAGGCCUAACACAUGUAAGUCGGACGGCAGCACAGUAAGAGCUUGCUCUUACGGGUGGCGAGUGGCGGACGGGUGAGGAAUACAUCGGAAUCUACUUUUUCGUGGGGGAUAACGUAGGGAAACUUACGCUAAUACCGCAUACGACCUACGGGUGAAAGCAGGGGAUCUUCGGACCUUGCGCGAUUGAAUGAGCCGAUGUCGGAUUAGCUAGUUGGCGGGGUAAAGGCCCACCAAGGCGACGAUCCGUAGCUGGUCUGAGAGGAUGAUCAGCCACACUGGAACUGAGGCACGGUCCAGACUCCUACGGGAGGCAGCAGUGGGGAAUAUUGGACAAUGGGCGCAAGCCUGAUCCAGCCAUACCGCGUGGGUGAAGAAGGCCUUCGGGUUGUAAAGCCCUUUUGUUGGGAAAGAAAAGCAGCAGGUUAAUACCCCGCUGUUCUGACGGUACCCAAAGAAUAAGCACCGGCUAACUUCGUG